CUUUUUAGCUCAUCCUUCUCUCCCCGUGCUCCUCGUCGAGUUUCGUAGCCGGCCACGAAAAAUAAAUCAGAAAAAAAGAUCGUGGGGGAAGGGGUUCACACCUCCGGCGAUGAGAUGACCCCCUCGUCGCCGCCUCGCCCCCGCUCGAGCCGGCUCCCAUCGCCUUUCCUUAGCAUUACCUCCUCCGCUCUGCAGUCCGAUCACCCUCGCCGGAGCGGUGAGCUGCUGGACAGCUUCGCCUGAGGGCUCUCUUAGGGUUACACGGCGAGAUCUCCAAGAUUGAAAGGUGACGCAGUGAGGUAAUGCGGGGAUUGUGGUGGUGAAGGGAGGUGAGGUUCUGCCGGCAUACAAGGGGAAGAUGUUGGCAAGCCCUCUUCCACAUCCUAUUUCUGAUUCGAAUCGGAAGAUCAUCGAGACGAAUGGUCCACCCAAGCGGUUGUAUCAAGUCUGGAAAGGAAGCAACGUGAGAAACCUUCAGGCUAAUGCACUUCGUUAUUAUUGUUCUGUUCCACCACCAUAAAUACGGGUUUUAUU